rnacentral:lncRNA from 1 species
AAUGCUUUACUUUGAGCACUUAGUAUUUCCUGGGCAUGGACUUAAGCUCUUUCCAUGCAUUAUCUCACGGAAUCGCCUGGGUGACAGAGCAAGACUCUGUCUCGAAAAAGAAAAAGAAAACAGACAACUCAACCUUGAUGGCUUCCAUCUAUGGAGCACUUAGUGUAUGCAAGGUAUUGCACCAAAUAUUUUAAAUGUACCUCAUUUAUCCUUCAGGAUAACCUUAAAGGUACAUAAUAUUAUUGGCUCCAUU